rnacentral:rRNA from 1 species
GACGAACGCUGGCGGCGUGCUUAACACAUGCAAGUCGAACGGAGAGGCCCUGCUUUUGUGGGGUGCUCGAGUGGCGAACGGGUGAGUAACACGUGAGUAACCUGCCCUUGACUUUGGGAUAACUUCAGGAAACUGGGGCUAAUACCGGAUAGGAGCUCCUGCUGCAUGGUGGGGGCUGGAAAGUUUCGGCGGUUGGGGAUGGACUCGCGGCUUAUCAGCUUGUUGGUGGGGUAGUGGCUUACCAAGGCUUUGACGGGUAGCCGGCCUGAGAGGGUGACCGGCCACAUUGGGACUGAGAUACGACCCAGACUCCUACGGGAGGCAGCAGAGGGGAGUAUUGCACAAUGGGCGGGAGGCUGGUGCAACAACGCCGCGUGCGGGAUGACUGCCUUCGAGUUGUAAACCGCUGUCGCCUGUGACGAGGCGUGAGUGACGGUAAUGGGUAAAGAAGCACCGGCUAACUACGUG